CGGAGCGCCCGGGAGCGGGCCCGGCCUGCUCCGCGGGAAAGGCACGCGUCCCUGGACCGGACCCCAAAGGCGCCCCGGUUCCACGCCCUGCACAGGGACACCUUCCGCUACACCGGGGGCUCAAAGCCUCAUCCAGCCUGGCCUAGGAACGCUGCCAGUGAUGGGGCAUCCACGGCUACCCCAGCAACCUCACAGGGAAGAAUUUCUUCCCAGUAUCAAUUUAAAAUCUGUCCUCUUUCAGUUUUAAAGUCAUUCCCCUCGGCCUGCCACUACAUGCCUUUGCAAAAAGUCCCCCUCCAGCUCUCUCACAGGCCCCCGCAGGUAGUGGAAGUCUGCUCCGAGGCCUCCUCCAGGCUGACCGCAGCUCUCUGAGGAGAUGACUCUUUGUUGUUUCUUUGUGGAGCUGCUCCGUGCCUCAGCUGCACCCUCUGGUCAGCACAGCUCUGUCUGUCCCCGUGAUGGACUGGAGAGCUCGCUGGACUCUUCUGGGGAGCAGCAGCCAGACCCUGCCUGCAAACCAUCUUCCAGAGCAUCCCCCCGCCCCUCCUGUGGCCAUCCAAUGCCUGUGACAUGCUGGGACUCCUGGCAGACAAGAACACAGUGAACAUCGUGCUUAGCCCUCUCUCAGAAGGCCUGAAUGUUAUUACCAAGAUGGAAGCACAUUUAAGAAAAGAAGUGGCAGAACUGGAGAAACUGGCACUGGACACGUACCCUGUGGCAACUGAAAUAAAGGAAAUCAUCUCAAAUGCAGAAAGUUUCAACACACUUACUGAAUUUCAGAGUCAGAUUGUGACUGUGGAGGAAAACCUUUGUUAGAACACGUGGAAUGAGAAGAAUCUGCAUAACAAGAUGACAUAGGAAAGACUGGAGAUGGAUGGGAUUGUUUGAACUAGACCACGUUAAGCAGGUUCCCGGCUGUAGCGAAGGGCUGGCAGCUCCCUGAAGAAUCUAAGUGCUGAAAUCUGCUUCUAGCAAAGUGUUUUUGGGAGCUGCUGUACAUGAUGUGCCUUCAUGCUGUAACUGUUGAGCCCAGCCUGUGUCCAAACAUGCGGCUUAGGUGAAGUUUGUUCAUAUGCUACUGGUGUGAAAGGAAAGAGCCACAUACUGGGAGCUGGCUGCUCCUCAGAACUGAGCCCUUUACCUGCCAGCUGUCCUCAGAUGGCACACACAACACUGUGAUACUGGCAUACACAACAAAUAAAUAAAGAACAACUUCCAACUCCAGAUUCUCAGCAAAAUUACCAGGUUCCUCAGCAUCUUUACCCAGGUCAGGUCAUUCCAAGAUUUAAUUCCAAAAUUCUGAGGUUUAAUUUUCCUCUUUUUUUUUUCUUUUUUUUUUUUUCAAGUUCAAAAGAGUUGGUUAUAUUUUUAUUCUUUGUAAGGGGAUUACACACAAUCUCAUAGGAGUUGACCUUGCAGAAGUGUCACGUGAGGCUUUCCUCAAACUUCUUCCAAUCCUGGGAAGGACAAACUGUGUGGGCAAAGAGACCACCUGUCCCAAGGAUCAAGUGCUGCUGGAGGGAGCACAAACCUGGCUAUAGCAAGGAAUGGUAUACCAUCAUCUCUCUCACUAACCCUGUUUUAACAGACUAUUAAUUUAAUUUGAUGGUAACGUGGUUUUGGCAAGUUGCUACUUUAUCCCCUAAAUAAAGUUGCAUUUUUAGGAACCUUCCCUUCUUCAGUAAUGUACCCAAGUGCCCCUCAAUUAAAAAUCUGAACUAGCUAUUGCUGUAAUUAUAACCAAAAAAAAAGGAGAUUAUAUAGUAGACGUUUUAAUUUUAUUUCUAAAUUCUUUUUGAGUAAAAGGCAUAAAACUAAUUUUAAAAUAUGGUAAAUUACAUAACUAAAUGAAACAGGCCGGGGAUAACCAGGAAUUAAGAGGAGAGGCACAGUAGGAAUCCGACAUGAGAAGAGAAGCUUAUUUUCUGAAGUAUCAUACUGUUAGCACUGUGAAAUUAACACCAGGAAAAUUUUCCUGGACUCCUGCUGAGAUGGAAGCCAGCAAGCAGAUAGCUUUAAUCUUAUAGAGAAUUUACUCUUACAUAGAGAGGCUCAAAAUGCAGCUUUUAAGAGCUGCUGAUAAAACAUUGGCCUUCUCUGACUUUUUUUAUUCAAAGUACUUUAUGUACUCAAAAAAAGAACCCACCAAACACCUCAGACAUUAUUUUUAACAGUAUCUUCUGCAGGGUUCUGUUAGCCAUUCUACACUAUUCACCAUUUUCAAUACCCUUACACUACAGGUCUUGGAGAAAGUAGGGGCUAUGCUUCAUCUUGCAAAGAAUCCAGCCUAAAUCACUUUCAGGAAAGUGAGAACUGCAGUUUUAAUUACAUAAAGGCUCCAAUUAACUUUUUGAGGCGGGAGCCCAAGUUCCUUACAACUUGACCCAUGAAGAAGGAUUCUGUUUGGCAUGAAUGGUCUCCUUUUCUAUCCCCUCCCACCAGUGUGGAGCUAUAACACAUCCAAGCAGAGCCAUAUAUUUUUUAAGAGAAGCACAGGCUGCAGAUUGUAAAAGGUGGCAAAGGUAGCUGCCUGUUAAAAGAAGUAAAUGGCUACAGGGAAAUGGGACACCAGCAAGCCUCAGAAAUCAGAUUUAAGUAUAAGGGUAACCAUUCUGAAAUGCAGCAGCUCCAUAGAGGUCACUGCUCCUUCAGAGGCAAAUGCUGCCUGUUCCACAGGGGAACCCACCCAUCUUCAGAAGGGUUUUAGAGAUGCAUUCCACUACAGGCAACAUUUUAUCUCCCUGUGUGGACAGUAUCUUUUCCCAGUGUCUUAGCACCAAAGAAAGGUUUCUAAACCUUAAAGUAUUUCAGUAGCAGUGCAUCAUAUAGGGAAACACACACAGGAAAUUUAAAAACAGUGCACUCAAAAGGCAUUCAGACAACAAACAGGGAUUUGGAUUUUUUUAUGAGAUGUCAAGGCAAGGAAAAUAGAGGUUGUUUAUUUUGUGGAAAAGCAGAGUAAAAAGUGACUGCUAUCUUCGUAAUUUUAGGACAGUUGAGGAUUACUACACCUCGUUCUGCUGACAAUGCAGACACAAUUAAUGAGAUUAUUAAUUAAGUGAAUAGAAGUGGGGUUUUUGUUGCCACUAGAUGGCAGAAAGAGCCCUUUUACACUCUUUGAUCACAUCUACGCCAUUUUGAAAAUACCCUUACAGGACACCUAGGGGCCUAUCUUCACCACUAAGAUGCCGAAUAAAAGAAAAAAUCUACUCAAUGAUUGCCAGUGCUAAGUAGAUUAAAGUAGUUUUGGAAAAAAUGCUCAGCAAUAUAUAAUUUUAAAAACCAUCUGCUUACACUGGGUCCUUUCUCUAAAGCUGAGAAGCCUUGUUUGCAAAGAAAUUAAUUUCACUUCCCAUUUACACCAAGUGCACAGGAUUUACAAGACUUCCAGCAGUACGAUGGGAAGCAAAGUGCUAAAAAUUUUCUGCAAAUUGUUCACAAGAGAUGCAUAAACAGGUUCAGAUUGAAUUAAUUGAAAAGAAUAGCAAUCUUCUAUCUGCAGCAAAGAGCUCUGUUUCUACUGGGCUGCAUUUGUUUUUCACACUCUCUCGAGGAACAGAAAGAAUGGAGAAAAAAGCUAGCAUAUUUUUGAUCAGUUCCUUGAACAGCAUACACUUUUAUGCUUCAGCAUUAAGAGCAUGAGCUGAUCUGCAUCUGUUUUCUAUAAUAUUACACAUUAUGUUACACUGUGUCACUUCUCUGAUUCACUUCAGGCUCAAACUUAGUAAUUAAAAAUCUGUCCAGCAGAAGAGCUGAACUGCACCAGCCCUACACCCUCACUCAUCCCAAGGACAGCACCGCAUCUCUCAAGCUUGCAACAUCCUUGACAAAUGUGCUUCAUUCCCCAGCUGUCACUCCACAGCACAGCUUCUGCACCUUUCACAAAACCCUCCUUUCUCCUCCAGGCUAAGAAAGGAAAUAUAUUCCCACCUUGCUCUCA